rnacentral:rRNA from 1 species
GCCAUCUCCGCGGCCUCGGCUGCCAAGAUCGUGGCGCGCCGCGCCUGGGGCGAGGGCUCCGCCCCCUUCCUCUUCCUCCGGGCGCUCACGUCCGCUGCCUGCAAGGUCUGCACCUACGGCUUCCUCGUCCUACUCGUGCUCGCCGUCCUGCUGUUGUGCGGCCUGUGCGUGGCGUACGUAAUCGCACUUCUAUCUGGACGCGGUACAGAAUUCAAGAAGCGUGCCCUGGGAGCAAUCACGUGGGAUUCGGUUGCGAACUCGUUUAGGCUACCCCGCAUGGCGGUGCUUGGGUUCAUCACAGUUGUGCCCUUCUUCGUGCUAGUUGUCGCCGGCCUUUUGUUGGCAAUGAUGUCGCAUGUGGAGGGAUCGGUAUCUCGGGGAGAAAUGGUAGGUUUUGUAAUCGUGGAUGUGGGGUUUUUUGGAAUGCACGCGACGUCUUGCAUUCUUAUCAUCCCAGCUCUAGCACUUGGCGCCUGGAGGUCCGACCAGGCGGACAGGAAAGCACAGUCGCAGUCUUGUUGA